UACGUAGGUGGCAAGCGUUGUCCGGAUUUAUUGGGUUUAAAGGGUGCGUAGGUGGCCUGUUAAGUCAGGGGUGAAAGACGGUAGCUUAACUAUCGCAGUGCCCUUGAUACUGAUGGGCUUGAAUGAACUAGAGGUAGGCGGAAUGUGACAAGUAGCGGUGAAAUGCAUAGAUAUGUCACAGAACACCAAUUGCGAAGGCAGCUUACUAUGGUUUUAUUGACACUGAGGCACGAAAGCGUGGGGAUCAAACAGG
rnacentral:rRNA from 1 species